rnacentral:rRNA from 1 species
UUGCACGCUGGCGGCCGGCCUCACACAUGCAAGUCGCGCGGAUGAAGGGAGCUUGCUCCUGGAUUCAGCGGCGGACGGGUGAGUAAUGCCUAGGAAUCUGCCUGGUAGUGGGGGAUAACGUCCGGAAACGGGCGCUAAUACCGCAUACGUCCUGAGGGAGAAAGUGGGGGAUCUUCGGACCUCACGCUAUCAGAUGAGCCUAGGUCGGAUUAGCUAGUUGGUGGGGUAAAGGCCUACCAAGGCGACGAUCCGUAACUGGUCUGAGAGGAUGAUCAGUCACACUGGAACUGAGACACGGUCCAGACUCCUACGGGAGGCAGCAGUGGGGAAUAUUGGACAAUGGGCGAAAGCCUGAUCCAGCCAUGCCGCGUGUGUGAAGAAGGUCUUCGGAUUGUAAAGCACUUUAAGUUGGGAGGAAGGGCAGUAAGUUAAUACCUUGCUGUUUUGACGUUACCAACAGAAUAAGCACCGGCUAACUUCGUG